CUGGAUUUUAUUAAAAUAUACAUAAAUAACCCUCAUUGUUCUUUAUUUGAUUAGUUUGGGGAAAUUAAGUGAAAAAUAGUAGUACUGGUGUAGAGAAAUGAAGGCCAAAAGGGAGUCAGUGAAACUGUACUCCAGCCCAGAUCUGCCCCCAAGAAGCCUGAGAAAGGCUCUCAGUGUCAUGUCCUCAGCUGCAGAAUGAGGUGGGUGGAAUAUACUGUCUGGGGUCCACCGCAGCUCUACAAUUCUACUGUCUUAAUUCUAUUAUUAGGAGCAAAUGCUACAUAUUAACUAUAUAUAGCAGGUAUUGAGAAUGAAAAGUAAAGAAACGCUGAACUCAUAGGAAUACUUUUAAAGAAGACAAGAGAAAUACAGAAGUUGGCUGCUUAAAAAAAUGCAUUGAUGUUACAGUUUUAUUCACACUAAUUAGAAUAUAUACACAAAAAAUGUGUAUCAUAUGUUGCUUUCAAAAGAUUCUAUGUUCCAUGAGAACUAUGUAAACAGUGUAAAAUGUUUCUACUGCAUAACAAAAGAAGGAAAUUCAGCAUUCCCAUGUAGUAUUAGGAAACUAUUUUCAGAUAAUUUGAAGCUAUAGUAAAACAAAGUGAAAUAUUACAGAACAGUCUUUUCGUGAAGUAGAUUUAUAGUCUAGAAACAAUACAUUUCAUACUUUCAAACACUUUGGUAUAAGUGAAAUUAAUACAAAGCAACAAACCCCAAAACCAAACAAACUCUACUUUGGUUCUCACGUCAACUGGAACCUCAGCAGUGAGGCGACCGCACGGCUACGUUAGAGGAGAUGGAACCCCUCCCGUCGCUGCGCCCUCCGGGUAGGAACAGGCAAGCUGGGAGAAGGCUUCCCAGGACAUCUGGGCAGCAGGAGACAGUUCACUUCCUCCCACAGCCAUGCUCUCAGCAACAGCCCGAAAGCUCCAGAAGCAGCUCAGAUUCUACUUGGAAUAAGUGCCCUUGGUUACUUCCUCUUAACAAAUACAAAUGACCCUGCAUUAAAGCAGCUCAGAACUACAAUUCACAUUUAAACAAGAACAUAAAUUUUUUAAAAAUCGUAUUACUAUAGUUUCUCAAGAAGUCCAUACUUGAAUGAAAGAACAUACUACAUUAAUUUAAAAAAAUGCAAGUUUAAUAGCCUACUGACAAUAAUUUUUUAAGAAACAGAAACAAACGUCUGCAUGCUACAGGUAUUUCUUCGUUGAUAUCACACAUUACUUUGACAACUGUACAACUAAACUGAUCAGAGGAAUUUUUAACUGCAUCAUUGUGAUGAUUACAUUUCUCGUCUCUUCUGUCCAAAUGUGGUACUGGUUUUUCACUGUCUUUUUGUUCAGUAUGUUUUCUUUAAAAUGAAUCCCUACAUCUGAGAAUCACAUCUGAGCAACUGUCGAUGAAUCACUUCUCUGUCACCCGUCACAGGAGCAAGCUGGGAACGUCCUCUGAGGAUCUUCUCAGCAACGUAAUCGUACUGCAACUCUCUGAAAAGAUAAGGAAGUCUUUAAAAGAAGAAAGGAUCCCUGGUGAACUUCACAAACUUACAGCAAGAAUACAACAGCGCACUGCUGUUUCUUUCUGAAGGAAAACAACACACUGCCAGGCGCUCAACUGGACCAAACACACUGCAAAGGGCCUCUGCGGCACGCGCCCUGUGAGCACAGGUCCCCGGGCAUCAGACAGGCCCUCCGACAGGAUGCAGGCAGCAGGCGACCUUCAGGGAGAUUGACUAGCAUGAGCAUCUUCCUAACAAAAUCAGCACAGAAAGUAAAAAGUCAAAUUUUUGCUAAGUUAAUCUGAGGCUUUCUAAAGAACAAUUUUAAAAAGGACUAAAG
ensembl:lncRNA